UUUACCUGUAGUGAGUGAAAGAUAAGAGUUACAUCUGACUUCUUAGAAACCAUGCAAGCAAGAAGAGAGUGGAGCGAAAUAUUUAAACUGGUUAGAGAGAGAGAGAGAAAAGACCAACCUAUAAUUCUGUAUCCUGUGAAAUUAUCUUUGAAAAAUAAGACAUAAAGACGUGCUCAGACAAAAAUUGAGGGAGUUUGUUGCCAGUACACCUUCCUUGCAAUAAAUGUAAAAGUUUUUCAGAGAGAAGGAAAAUUUUAUAGGUCAGAAACUCAGAACUACAUAAAGAAAGGAAGAUUGUUAGAGUAGGGAUAAAUAAAGGUAAAGUAAAAACCCCCUUGUACUUCUUGUUAAUUGAUCUAAUAAGUUUGUUCAAAAUAAUAAUAGUAAUUUUUUUAUGAUUACAGCAUAUGCAUAAGUGAGAUGAAAGCAAUGCUACAAGGGACAGGAGGUGCCACAAGACAGCAAGGAAACUGUGCCUGAGCGUCUCCUCUCCAGACUGGCUGAAGAAUUCCAAAUGGCUUCCUGGGCUUGGGGCCUUGACCUCCCUGUCCCAGGUGGGCCCGCAGGAAACUCUGCAUUCAGGGACUACUCCCUCCAGCCUGUCCUCACCACCGCAGUAACAGGACUUUCUUCUCUGCAAAUGAACCCAUCCUUUCUUCACUGUAUACCCUCUCCCCCACUGGAAGGUAACUUCCUGUGACCUCACGACCUCUGUGGUGUCUGCCAUGCCCAGCUCCCAGUAAGUGCCUGUCCAAUGAAUGUAGCAAUGAGUGAAUGAAUGAAUGAAACCAAAAUCUGGAUUUGGCUCUGGGCAUGCAUGUAUACACCCAUGUUUUGCCACACCAGGUGCACAUGGUGUCUCUCAGGGAUGAUCCCACCACAGGCUGUCAGUGAUGAGGAGUGAUGGGCAAGAAGAAUGAAUGUAGCCAACUAUCACACAAGAAUGGAAUAAGCAGGCAGGGUCUGUUCUGGGGACUUGGAGAGGCAGAGACAAAGGCCAUGCUUGGGAGGAUGGGUAGCCUGCAGGCUGGGGUGGGGGAGUUGAUGCAUUUACCUGCUUUAGUGGGUGCGGAGGAGGAAAGGCUGUAUGCAUCCAGCUGGGCAUCCUGGCCUUUGUGUUCUACCAGUGCGUGCAGCAGGUGGGUAACUCAGCAACCCAAAGAAGGGUCAGGAAACCUUGCAGCCUGCCUGGGGUUCAAAUGCAGCGCAAUUGGAACUGUCCUUCAUUUGGGCCACAGGGACCCUGGGCCAAGUCAGAAAGAUAUUCCAUGCAAAUAGUAUCCAAAAGAAAAGAAUGCCUAUAACUAAUCUCAGACAAAAUAGUCUUUAAGUGCAAAAAGCUUACAAGAGACAAAGAAGGACAUAAUAUAUUAAUAAAAGGCUCAAUAUGGCAAGAAGAUCUGACCGUUGAAAGCAUUUAUGCACUGAAUGACGAUCAUCAAAAUAUAUAAAGCAAAAACAAAUUUUUAAAUACAGAGAACAAACUGGUGGUUGCCAGAGGGUGUGGGUGGGGGAAUGGGUAAAAUAGAUAAAGGGGAUUAAGAAUACACUUACCAUGAAAGGGGCGCCUGGGUGGCUCAGUGGGUUGGGCGGCUGCCUUCGGCUCGGGUCAUGAUCCCCGGGUCCUGGGAUCGAGCCCCACGUCCAGCUCCCUGCUCGGUGGAGAGCCUGCUUCUCCCUCCCUCUCUGCCUGCUGCUCUGCCUACUUGUGCUUUCUCUCUCUGUGUCAAAUAAAUAAAUAAGAUCUUAAAAAAAAAAAAAAUACACUUACCAUGAUGAACACUGAAAAAUGUAUAGAACUGUUGAACUAUUGUACACCUGAAACUAAUAUAACACUGUGUUAAUUAUACUUCAAUAAAAAUAAGUAAAAU